GACGAACGCUGGCGGCGUGCUUAACACAUGCAAGUCGAACGGAAAGGCCCUGCUUUUGUGGGGUGCUCGAGUGGCGAACGGGUGAGUAACACGUGAGUAACCUGCCCUUGACUUUGGGAUAACUUCAGGAAACUGGGGCUAAUACCGGAUAGGAGCUCCUGCUGCAUGGUGGGGGUUGGAAAGUUUCGGCGGUUGGGGAUGGGCUCGCGGCUUAUCAGCUUGUUGGUGGGGUAGUGGCUUACCAAGGCUUUGACGGGUAGCCGGCCUGAGAGGGUGACCGGCCACAUUGGGACUGAGAUACGGCCCAGACUCCUACGGGAGGCAGCAGUGGGGAAUAUUGCACAAUGGGCGGGAGCCUGAUGCAGCAACGCCGCGUGCGGGAUGACGGCCUUCGGGUUGUAAACCGCUUUCGCCUGUGACGAAGCGUGAGUGACGGUAAUGGGUAAAGAAGCACCGGCUAACUACGUG
rnacentral:rRNA from 1 species